rnacentral:rRNA from 1 species
UACGAACCGUACGAACGUUAUUCGGAAUCACUGGGCUUAAAGGGUGCGUAGGCGGCCAUGUAAGUGAGGUGUGAAAUCCCUCGGCUCAACCGAGGAACUGCGCUUCAUACUGCAUGGCUUGAGGGAGACAGGGGUAAGCGGAACUGAUGGUGGAGCGGUGAAAUGCGUUGAUAUCAUCAGGAACACCGGUGGCGAAAGCGGCUUACUGGGUCUCUUCUGACGCUGAGGUACGAAAGCUAGGGUAGCGAACGGG